rnacentral:rRNA from 1 species
GACGAACCGGUGCGAACGUUGUUCGGAAUCACUGGGCUUAAAGGGCGCGUAGGCGGGUUGGCAAGUCAGGGGUGAAAUCUUUCAGCUUAACGUGGAAAACAGCCCCUGAUACUGCGAGUCUCGAGGGAGGUAGGGGCAUGUGGAACUCCGGUGGAGCGGUGAAAUGCGUAGAUAGUACGGAAGGAACGCCGGUGGCGAAAGCGACGUGCUGGACCUCUUCUGCGCUGGAGGCGCGAAAGCUAGGGGAGCAAACGGG